rnacentral:rRNA from 1 species
CGGUUAAACUAAAGGAUUAAAUUAUAUUUUUAAAGGUAAAAAGGUAGUUAAGUAUACCAUUUAGUUAUAUUAUUUUGUAUAAAAAGGUGAAAUUCACUUAUACAAAAAUAAAUCAAAAAUAACUAAUUAAACUGAAGCUGCGAAAUCUUUGAGGGAAACUAGGAUUAGAUACCCUAUUAUUCAAAGUUAUAAAUAAUAAACUUACCAGAGUACUACGAAUUAAAUAAUUUAAAACUCAAAGGACUUGGCGGUGUUUUAGACUUUUUAGGGGAACCUGUCUCAUAAUCGACAAUCCACGUUAAACCUGACCUUUUUUUGCUAUCAGCCUGUAUACCGUUGUCGUCAGGUAGCUUUUAAGAACUAUAAAAGUUAGCAACAUAAACAGUAAAUUAUUACGUCAAAUCAAGGUGCAGCCAAUAAAUUGGGGAAGAUGGGUUACAAUUAAAAUUUAUAAUUAUGGAUAAAAUUAAUGAAAUUUAUUUAUUGAAAGAGGACUUAAAAGUAAAAUAAAUUAUAUAAAUGAUUUGAAUAAAGCUCUGAAACGUGUACUAACCCCCC